CUACGGAUUACCAUUAGUUUCGAAUGUUAAUAGUGAAGAAAUACGAGCUUUAAAGCUCUGUAGUCGUGUACUUUAUUAUGUCUAAUUUCAUUUGCAUACUGUUUUCUUGAUUCCAUGAUAGCACUAUGACCAUUCUUACAAUUAUCCCAAAUAAAACAAAGUUCUCACAUAUUAGGCACCAUUUCUUCAAGUCCCUCUUCUCACCAAAUUCUCUCUUUCGUCUUGGUUACAUGAAACAUAAUAUAAUUGGUACAAAUAUAGAGACUAUGUACUUAGGGAGUAGAAAGUCCAGGGAAGGGAGUGAUGACAGAACCCAAAUCUUCAAAACCAGUCUUGUGGAAAAGGUUAAUGGAACCCAGUCCAGGUAGACUUAGAGGCAGAACUAGAGCCGAAGGAUUGAAGCCACGAGAACAUAGAUUUCAACCCUAGAAAGGAAAAUUGCUAAUAAGUACAAGUGUUUAAAAGAGAAUUGGCUACCUUGUAGAAUUUCCCAUUACUGGGUAUAUUUAAGCAGAGUUUCAAAGCCUAUUUCCAGGUGUCGAAGCAUCUGUUUUAUGGAAUCUCCGGGCUUUCUGUUCUUCCCCAUGGUCGCACCCGAUCACACUCUGCUCUGAGUUUUGCAUCAUUUGUCUGUCUCCCUGUCUCCACCAGGAACCCCUUGAGGACAGCAACCAUGUCUUACUUAUUUUUGUAUCUCCAUCCCUUAGCACAGUGCUUGUCACAGCGAUGCUCUAUAAAUAUUUGCUGAAUGGAUGAAUGCAUGAAUGGAUGCAGUACAAAAUAAGGUUUCUUAAACUUGUUUUUUCCAAGCUGUGGAACCCGUCCUUCAAGUUGAAGUCUGACAUGGAGGUCUAGUAUGUAAAAGAGAUAAAAAUGUUGUGCUCUGCUUAAGUGGAGUUCUAGGGUCUGGAGACCUGCCCACUUAGUCCUUGAAAGUGCCUCUGUAGAACACAGUUUAAGAAUCACUGAUCUUCAAAGUUGGACUUUGAAGACUUCUUUGAUUUGCUUUUUGAUCUCUAGGUCUUUGAUUUUUAAUCUCUUUAUUUCAAGUUUUCUGUUCAUUUUCAGACUUUUUCUUGUCCUCAGAAUGUUUCCUGAGGUUCAGAGACAGAUGCUAAAGAGGAGAGAGGUCCAUGCUAGUAUUUACCACCCCCACUCCCAGCCCAAUUUUAUAGGUUCUUAAGCUGGAAAGGCUGUAUGACACAUGCCUCAGUUCUUGCUUAAACAUUUUUGCUAUGGGCUUUGAGUUUCAGCGUAUCUUGGGUCCUCAGUGUUCUAGCUUCUGACUCUGACUACCCUAGCCUGGGAACUUCGAUAUGCCGUGGGUGCGGCCUUAAAAAAGGAAAAAAGACAAAAAAAAAAAAAAAAAAAAAAAAAAAAAGCGAGCAGCAGGGCUUUCAGGGGGCUUUAUGUAUGGCACUGGUCCUCAAAUCGUAAGAUACACAUGUGGAACGUAUGCACAUCUUUGGCAGUGAGGAAAGAAGCAGAGCAGGGGUAGUGAGGAAAGAAGCAGAGCAGGUCCUUGCCCUCCUGCUGCUUGUCUGAGACCAGGUGGUCUUCGGACCAGCGCUUAGACUUGGACCUGUGAUUGAGGUACUACUUUCAGGGCAUCAUGAUUGCAAGUAAAGAGUCUCGGUGGCGCACUGGAAAGGUCAAUCCAGGUUUGUGAAAUCUAGCAUCCAUCUCAACGUUCUCGAGACAGCCCUGAGUUCCAGUGCUCUUAUUCUUUGCCGCAUAGCCAUCUCUUAAAGGUGUACCAUCUUACCUCUGCGAGACGAUUCCGCAGGUUGGUACAAAAGAAGUCUCCUGUCAAGCCAUAUAAACUGAUUUUCCAUCCAGAGAUUGUUCCUGCAGCCACAGCCUAUUAGGAGGCAUCCGGACAAUCUGGUGAAGGCUUUGGGCCCUCCUUCUCCACCAGAUGUGUCACACACAGGGCUGAGUGAAGCCAUCCCUUGUGUAAGGAAGAGUGACAAGUCUUAGGCUCCAUUCUGCUUCCACUUUGUCUUUUGUCUAUUGCUUAAAAUAACUGAAGCUUUAUAUUCCUUUCCUCCAUCCUGCGAAAUGCAGAUGUUUACCCAGUUUCCUUCUUUUGUUGAAUUAACACCCCCUCUCACGGAUGUUUUUGUUUUCAAAACAAAGCCCAACAUUGUAGUUUGAAUGGCUCCCUCUUACAUGAUAACGGUUCUGUUAUUUUACAUAUAUAAUCAAGAUUUCUUUUCACUUUCAAGUUGAAAAUACUCUUGAGAUGUGAAUGCUAAGUAUCCCCUUCCCACCAUCUCCACUGCCCGGGGGAGAAAUGUGGAGAGAAUGUAUGCAGGGCUUGAAAGUUAAGACAAGAAGUUUUGUUUUGUUUUGUUUCUCUUUAGGGCAUAUGGACGUUCCCAGGCUAGGGAUCGAAUCGGAGCUGCAGCUGCCCGCCUACACCACAGCCACAACAAUGCUGGGUCCAAGCCACAUCUGCAACCUGCACCAGAGCGCAUGGCAACACCGGAUCCUUAACCUACUGAGCCAGGCUAGGGAUUGAACCCCCUUCCUCAUGGAUACUAGUCGGAUUUAUUUCUGCUGCACCAUGACAGGAACUCCAACACCAGAAGUAUUUUGUUGAGUGAUCUGCUUAGAAACUGCUAGUUAUCUACCCACCAUCCAUUCAGCAUUCACUCACAAGAAACAUAGUAUUUUUUCCCCCACCUGCCAAUCUGCCUGGAUAAAGAUCUUUAUUUCCCAGAAUUCCUUCAGUGGUUAGUGAGGUUAAGCAGCAGUGCUUGGGUGGGCUUUCAGGAAGGCUCUGUUAGGCAGACUGACUCAGCUGAGAGGCAUGCCUUUUUGGCCCUUUCCUUCUCCCUCCUCUUUCUGCUUGAAAUGUACUCUCUGGAGUCUCACGGCCUCCUUGAGCCUCCAGGAUGAAAGCCACAUAAAAAGAUGAGAUUCAGGACUCCUGGUAUUUGGGGCGCUGACGUGGCCACAUGUAUCACCUACGUCUUUACAGUUGUCCGUGGGGAUCUGUGGGGCAUGGGUUCCAGGACCUCAUAGAUACCACCAUCAGUGGAUGCUCAAGUCCCAGAUAUAAAAUGGUACAGGGCAGUCCGCCUUCUGUAUUCAUGGAUUCUGCAUCUGUGGAUAUAGAGGGUGAGAGGGGUGACUGAUCAACAUCAAUCCUCCGUUGGUUGAAUCCAAGGAUGCAGAAGCCACCGGCUAUGAAGGGCUGACUGUACUUCCUUUAUUUGAGUCAGAAGUAAAUUUCGGACUUGUUUAAGCCACCUGGUUGCGGUGUCUGGAAUAGGUUGUACCAUUUUUUUCUAAUUGGGCCAUGACUAUAAUGCAGAAACAUCUACUCCCACUUCACUGGUCUCUCCUCUUCUCUUCUCCUAACUCGGCUUCCUCCUCUUCUACCUACUACUCGCAUCCAAGGGGACAUCUGCAGAUAGCAAGUGCCUGCCUGAAAAUCCCAUGUGUAGACAGGUCAGGCCAGAGAAUGUGUUCACGGCUCUUCAUGCUGCUUCUUCCUUUGUUCUCCUUUGAACACAGAGCAUUUUCAGGGGCACAGGGACUUUUCACAGCAGCGCACACAGUCACGGUGGGCGAAGUUUAUGGGACAGGGCAGUCGUUUUGCAGGCACGAACCAGUGACGUCUCGAGUCCAGCGCAGGAUGAGUUGAACAGGGUUAGCAUCUCACAUGGGGCAGAAACAUGGUUUCUUUCCCGUGAUGUCUGCAGGAAGUAGACACUUUCCUGCUAGCAGCACUCACCUGGGUGAGUGUUUUAUGGACUAGUGAAGAAGAGAGCAUCCUAUAAGGCUUUGUUAAGAGGAAAGGACCUCUCACCUGCCUUCCUGCAACUUUCUGUGGGUUUGCUGAUGCCACAUUCAACCAAGGGUAAAUUCAAGGAGUGAUCCAGUGAAAAGGGAAGAAAACCUUGAAGGAGCUUGAUGGACAUAAAUUGGGAUGAUGGCGUGAGUUACUCAGGCAUAAAACCCUCUUUUUAGGUACAGGAAUACAACAGAGAGAAACAAGACAACCUGGUCCCUUUCUCUGCCACUUGCCCCUGCUGGAAGGAAUGAUGCUGUCCCAUGCACACUCUGUCAUGAUGCUGUCACCGUCGGCCACUGUCAGGAUGCUUGGUGUCGAGGUCUUACGUAACCUUCCCUCUCAGCAACCUAACCCCUGCCAGCACAGACUGUUCCCUUUCUGAGCACCAAAGCCCUGGGCCUGCUUGCAGAGAGUAAUUGCAAGGUAGAUUAUAAUUGUUGAUAAUAAACACAGUACAUUGGGUACAAACUGGGCUAGGAAAGAGGGUCAUAAAAAGAAAUCUGUGAUGAUAGGGGUUUGUAAGUUUAAUGACUAUUCUAACAAGAUAAAGCUUUUAUUAAUUACAAAUGAAUCUCAUCCUCUUUCUCUUUCUCUGUCUCAUAUUAAAAAACUUUACUUGACAUAGGUUCUUCGUUUUAGAAGAAGCGUGUGUGUGUGUGUCUGUGUGUGUCUGUGUGUCUGUGUGUGUGUGUGUAUUUUGAAGGCAACAUCAACAGCUUGGAAGUGGUCCAGAGAAAAGUAAAUGCUGUUAUCAGUAGGUUGGAAAAUCAAGCCUGUAACAGAAGGUUAAAGGAGCUGAUUGCAUUUAGUCUGGAGUAGAGAUGAUGUAAUAAUUAUUAAAAAUCUGUUAUUAAGGAGGACAUUGAUUAACAUUCUCCUCAUAGAAGACAUAAAUAAAAGGAAUUGUUUAAACUCCACUACUGUACAGCACAGGGAACUAUAGCUAGUCCCUUGGGUUAGACCAUGAUGGAAGAUCAUAUGAGAAAGAGAAUGUGCAUAUAGAUGUGUGUUGUGUGUGUGCAUACAUGUAUAUAUGACUGGGUCACUUUGCACAACCUUGUAAAUCAAGUAUACUUUAAUAAAAUUUUAAAAAAUAAAAAAACAGACUUGAAAAGAAGAGAGGGAUUUAUAUUAAAUAUUGGGAAGCAUUUCUUGAAAGUGAGCAUCAUUAAAGAAAAGAAUGUCACCAACUAUAACCAGUUGUUGAGGAAGGCGAGGGAAUCUGUGUCUCAGGAUAUUAGUGUAAUGGGCAUAGGACAGGCUCUGAACCCAGAUCUGCUUUUGAGUCUUAGUUCUGGCUUCAGUUAACAUGAAAAAAUUCUCUUUAAAAUUCUUCCACUCUGUAGGAUUUUCGGGGGAUUAUGGAACAUAGUAUUUGGACAAGCAUUUAGGUGAUAAGGUGCUAAAUAAACAUGAUUCUCCCCCUCCCCUUAACUUCCAAACUAUUAUUGGUUUGAGAUUUUACAGCAUAAGGUUUAGGCAAUAUAUUCUUGUCAGUACUGACGGCUUUUCUUUGUUUUGCAAAGGAUUUUGCUUUUAUAGAAAAGUGGGUCCUAGCAUUUUGUGGCAGGUGAUUAUUAUUAUUGGGUUUUACAAAGCCCUAACUGGUGUGUGUGUGUGUGUGUGUGUGUGUAUUCAUACCAACUCCACUAACAAAACAGUAUAAGAAGGUAUUUCAAGAUCAAGGUCAAGAAAAAUAAAGUGUUAUAAGUCACAGAAAGAAAUCACUGGUCUCAUGCUGUAUGCUGAGGUACAGUAUUAAUUUCCCUUUUUUUUUUUUUAAAAGGGCUGCAGCCACGGCAUAUGGAAGUUUCCAGGCUAAGGGUCGAAUCUGAAUUGCAACUGCUGGCCUACACCAGAGCCACAGCAACGUGGCAUCUGAGCCACGUCUGCGACCUACACCACAGCUCAUGGCAACGCGGAAUCCUUAACCCACUGAGCGAGGCCAGGGAUCAAACCUGCAACCUCAUGGAUCCUAGUCAGAUUCGUUUCCAUUGUGCCACGACGGGGACUCCCUAAUUUCCCCUGUUUCGCUGUAACUGGAUCUGUUCACAUGACUGGGUUUAUUGUAACUUUAUCAACUCUUUGGGGGAAAUCUCCAUAGAGCAGGAAUACUGCUCUGAGCCCAAACCACCAUCAUUGGCUCCCUCUCAUUGGUGCCUAGUUUGUUUAGGGGGGUGCGUGUGUUCUGAAGCUGCUGUGCCCGCCUUGGCUGUAACCUCAAGGUCCUAAUCAAAUGGAACAGCUUGUGCUUUUCUUUCACCUAAUGGUUUUUAAGCAUGUGCAGGUGUUAAACUAGUGUUGGUUUUCUGGGGCAACAGGGGACAGGUAGCAGUUACAGCAUCACAACCCAAACAACCUAGAAUAGAACUGAGACCUUCCUUUUCCUAAUGUUCCUCAGCCCCUCCAUCAAGAGGAAUUUUUUUACAAGUCACCCUUGUUCAGGCGCAUGCCACUCCAAGUCUCUCUACGCUUCAAAUUCAGUUUCUCUCCCUUUUUAUGCAGACUCGUCUAGCACAACCCACUCGUGGGCUCCACGCCUGCCUCUGUCUAAGGAUUCAUUGCUACCUUGCCAGGCGAAAGGGCCAUGCAUUCUCUACCAGUAUAGCAGAGCCGUCGGCGGUGGCUUUGGAAUUAUAGCCUUCUCUCUCCCUUCUCUGUCCCAUCUCCUCCCCUCUGCCCAGAUUCUGAAAGUGCAGAAGAUUAGUGGAGAAUACAUCAUUUUUCCUCCGCAAUAGGAAUUUUGACUUUCUUGUUAGACAGCAGAAGUAGCUGCCAUUAGUUUGAAUUUUAAAUAUAUUUAGUCUUUGGGCAAAACGAGUAGCAAAGCAUUAUUAUUAUUAUUAUUAUUAGCAUUAUAAUUAAGACACAUAAUAGGAACCACAGGAUACCAAAAGAGGUGUAUAACCUCCUUUCUUUCUGAUAAAUGAACAUUAGUAUGGAAUUAAACCAGUAGCACUCUGACAUUAACCAUAGGAGGUGGUGGCAGGUCUGGGCUGUGUUUACUUUUGAGGACAAAUCCUUGAAUAAGGCAAUGAUUGAGCAUCAAGCCUCAUUUUUCGCUCAUCGGUGGUGCUCGGUGGAGCAUGCAGUGAGCUGGAGACAUACAGUGCUCAGGCAGACACAAGCAGAGAGAAUUCAGACCAAAUGAGACUAUGAUAAUUGACGUGCCGUCACACCACCCGAGUAACCCAAAGGUGUGUCUGAAGAAUGGGUGUGCUGAAUGUGGAUGGACCUGGAAGGCAUUGUGCUCAGUGAAAUAAGCCAGAGAAAGACAAAUACUUCAUGAUAUCACUUAUAUGUCAAUCUGAAAAAUAGAACUAGUGAAUAUAGGAGUUCCUGUUGUGGCUCAUCGGGUUAAGGACUGGGCGUUGUCUCUGUAAGGAUGUGGGUUCAAUCCCUGGCCUCUCGUAGUGGGUUAAGGAUCUGGCGUUGUCACAAGCUGCCAUGUAGGUCGCAGAUGUGGCUUGGAUCUGGUGUUGGCUGUGGCUCUGCUGUAGUCUGGCAGCUGCAGCUCCAAUUCAAACUCUAGCUUGGGAACUUCCGUAUGCUGCAG
rnacentral:lncRNA from 1 species